UACGUAGGCAGCGAGCGUUGUUCGGAGUUACUGGGCGUAAAGGGCGCGUAGGCGGCAAUUCAAGUCAUCUGUGAAAUCUCCGGGCUUAACCCGGAACGGUCAGAUGAUACUGCUUUGCUAGAGUGCGGAAGGGGCAAUCGGAAUUCUCGGUGUAGCGGUGAAAUGCGUAGAUAUCGAGAGGAACACCUGAGGUGAAGACGGGUUGCUGGGCCGACACUGACGCUGACGAGCGCGAAAGCCAGGGAGGCAAACGGG
rnacentral:rRNA from 1 species